UACGAAGGGGGCGAGCGUUGUUCGGAAUUACUGGGCGUAAAGGGCGCGCAGGCGGCCUUAGAAGUCAGAUGUGAAAGCCCCGGGCUCAACCUGGGAAUGGCAUUUGAUACUCUGAGGCUGGAGUACGGGAGAGGAGAGUGGAAUUCCCAGUGUAGAGGUGAAAUUCGUAGAUAUUGGGAAGAACACCGGUGGCGAAGGCGGCGACCUGGUCCUUUUACUGACGCUGAGGCGCGAAAGCGUGGGGAGCAAACAGG
rnacentral:rRNA from 1 species